UGGGGAAUAUUGGACAAUGGGCGCAAGCCUGAUCCAGCAAUGCCGCGUGUGUGAAGAAGGCCUUCGGGUUGUAAAGCACUUUUAUCAGGAGCGAAACGCUGUCGGCUAAUACCCGGCGGAACUGACGGUACCUGAGGAAUAAGCACCGGCUAACUUCGUGCCAGCAGCCGCGGUAAUACGAAGGGUGCAAGCGUUAAUCGGAAUUACUGGGCGUAAAGCGUGCGUAGGCGGUUUCUUAAGUCUGCUGUGAAAUCCCCGGGCUCAACCUGGGAAUGGCAGUGGAUACUGGGAGGCUAGAGUGUGUCAGAGGGUGGUGGAAUUCCCGGUGUAGCGGUGAAAUGCGUAGAGAUCGGGAGGAACAUCAGUGGCGAAGGCGGCCACCUGGGACAACACUGACGCUGAGGCACGAAAGCGUGGGGAGCAAACAGGAUUAGAUACCCUGGUAGUCCACGCCCUAAAGCGAUGCGAACUGGAUGUUGGUCUCAACUCGGAGAUCAGUGUCGAAGCUAACGCGUUAAGUUCGCCGCCUGGGGAGUACGGUCGCAAGACUGAAACUUAAAUGAAUUGACGGGGUCAUAGCUGUUUCC
rnacentral:rRNA from 1 species